rnacentral:rRNA from 1 species
GACGAACGCUGGCGGCGUGCUUAACACAUGCAAGUCGAGCGGUAAGGCCCUUUCGGGGGUACACGAGCGGCGAACGGGUGAGUAACACGUGGGUGACCUGCCCUCAGCUCUGGGAUAAGCCCGGGAAACUGGGUCUAAUACCGGAUAUGACUCCAUGACGCAUGUUGUGGGGUGGAAAGCCUUGUGCGGCUGAGGAUGGGCCCGCGGCCUAUCAGCUUGUUGGUGGGGUGAUGGCCACCAAGGCGACGACGGGUAGCCGGCCUGAGAGGGCGACCGGCCACACUGGGACUGAGAUACGGCCCAGACUCCUACGGGAGGCAGCAGUGGGGAAUCUUGCGCAAUGGGCGAAAGCCUGAUGCAGCGACGCCGCGUGAGGGAUGACGGCCU